rnacentral:rRNA from 1 species
GAUGAACGCUGGCGGCGUGCCUAAUACAUGCAAGUCGAGCGAACAGAUGAGGAGCUUGCUCCUCUGACGUUAGCGGCGGACGGGUGAGUAACACGUGGAUAACCUACCUAUAAGACUGGGAUAACUUCGGGAAACCGGAGCUAAUACCGGAUAAUAUAUUGAACCGCAUGGUUCAAUAGUGAAAGACGGUUUUGCUGUCACUUAUAGAUGGAUCCGCGCCGCAUUAGCUAGUUGGUAAGGUAACGGCUUACCAAGGCAACGAUGCGUAGCCGACCUGAGAGGGUGAUCGGCCACACUGGAACUGAGACACGGUCCAGACUCCUACGGGAGGCAGCAGUAGGGAAUCUUCCGUAAUGGGCGAAAGCCUGACGGAGCAACGCCGCGUGAGUGAUGAAGGGCUUCGGAUCGUAAAACUCUGUUAUUAGGGAAGAACAAAUGUGUAAGUAACUAUGCACGUCUUGACGGUACCUAAUCAGAAAGCCACGGCUAACUACGUGC